AAGGAACAAUAUUUAUCAGAUUGAAAAUGAAACUUUCACAAAUUUGCGAUUUCUUCAAAAACUGAACCUUUCUGGAAAUAGCAUCGCUUCAAUCGAUCCACAACGCUUUGAAAGGACUUUCUUCAUUGAGGACUCUAGAUCUUUCUCAGAAUGCAAUCAGAAGCAUCACAUCCAUUAACAUCAUGGAUCUAUCUUCUCUUAUACAUCUGUAAUUGAGUCGAGUCAUGUUAGACGAGUUGU